rnacentral:rRNA from 1 species
AGCAGCCGCGGUAAUUCCAGCUCCAAUAGCGUAUAUUAAAGUUGUUGCAGUUAAAAAGCUCGUAGUUGAAUUUCGGGAUCAGUAUGUUGGUCGUGCUUCGGUACGUACUGUCAUUACUGGUUUCUACCUUCUGAAGAACCUUGAUGUCAUUAAUUUGGUGUCUUGGGGAAUCAGGACUGUUACUUUGAAAAAAUUAGAGUGUUUAAAGCAGGCUUUAGCUUGAAUACAUUAGCAUGGAAUAAUGAAAUAGGACGUUCGAACCUAUUUUAUUGGUUUCUAGGAUCAACGUAAUGAUUAAUAGGGAUAGUUGGGGGCAUUAGUAUUCAAUUGUCAGAGGUGAAAUUCUUGGAUUUAUUGAAGACUAACUACUGCGAAAGCAUUUGCCAAGGAUGUUUUCAUUAAUCAAGAACGAAAGUUAGGGGAUCGAAGACGAUCAGAUACCGUCGUAGUCUUAACCAUAAACUAUGCCGACUAGGGAUCGGAUGAUGUUUAAUUUUUUAAUGUACUCAUUCGGCGCCUU